ACGGAAGGCAGCAGUGGGGGAUAUUGCACAAUGGGGGAAACCCUGACGCAGCGACGCCGCGUGAGUGAAGAAGUAUUUCGGUAUGUAAAGCUCUAUCAGCAGGGAAGAAAAUGACGGUACCUGACUAAGAAGCUCCGGCUAAAUACGUGCCAGCAGCCGCGGUAAUACGUAUGGAGCAAGCGUUAUCCGGAUUUACUGGGUGUAAAGGGAGCGUAGACGGUUUGCCAAGUCUGAUGUGAAAGGUGGGGGCUCAACCCCCAAACUGCAUUGGAAACUGGUAGACUAGAGUGUCGGAGAGGUAAGUGGAAUUCCUAGUGUAGCGGUGAAAUGCGUAGAUAUUAGGAGGAACACCAGUGGCGAAGGCGGCUUACUGGACGAUAACUGACGUUGAGGCUCGAAAGCGUGGGGAGCAAACAGGAUUAGAUACCCUGGUA
rnacentral:rRNA from 1 species